rnacentral:misc_RNA from 1 species
AACGCACAUUGCGCCCGCCAGCAUUCUGGCGGGCAUGCCUGUUCGAGCGUCAUUUCAACCCUCGACUUCCCUUCGGGGAAAUCGGCGUUGGGGACCAGCAGCAUACCGCUGGCCCCGAAAUGGAGUGGCGGCCCGUCCGCGGCGACCUCUGCGUAGUAAUCCAACCUCGCACCGGAACCCCGACGUGGCCACGCCGUAAAACACCCCACUUUCUGAACGUUGACCUCGGAUCAGGUAGGAAUACCCGCUGAACUUAA